rnacentral:rRNA from 1 species
AUUGUUAACGUCAAUGCACAUGAGUAUUAAUCAUGCACCCUUCUUCACAAUUGAAAGUGCUUUACAACCCGCAGGCCUUCUUCACACACGCGGCAUUGCUGGAUCAGGGUUGCCCCCGUUGUCCAAUAUUCCC